rnacentral:rRNA from 1 species
AUUGAACGCUGGCGGCAGGCCUAACACAUGCAAGUCGAGCGAGCGGCGGACGGGUGAGUAAUGUAUGGGGACUGCCCGAUAGAGGGGGAUAACUACUGGAAACGGUGGCUAAUACCGCAUACUAUCGGAUAACCCAUAUGGGAUUAGCUAGUAGGUGGGGUACAGGCUCACCUAGGCGACAAUCUCUAGCUGGUCUGAGAGGAUGAUCAGACACACGGUGACGGAGACACGGGCCAGACGCGGACGGAGGAAGCAGUGGGGAAUAUGGCAGAAUGGGCGCAAGCCUGAUGCAGCGAGGCCGGGUGUAUGAAGAAGGCCUUAGGGGUGUAAAGUACGUUCAGCGGGGAGGCGUUACCCGCAGAAGAAGCACCGGCUAACUCCGUGCCAGCAGCCGCGGUAAUAC